GGAUAUUUUUGUCAUUUGUUAGUAGAGAUGAUGCUGCUUGUCCUGAUGAUAUUUUCUCUUUUUAAAGAGAAUGCUGCUGCAGAUUUAAUAACAUCGUUAUUCACAGAGAAACAUGUUUUUGAAGGAGAUGAUGUGACUCUGUCCUGUAACUACAGUGGCUAUGUACAAAAUUUACAGUGGUACCGUCAAUAUACCGGAUCCAAACCUGAGAAUUUCAUUCUUCACACUGAGACCAAUAGUUGGUCAGAGCCCAAGCUUCGUCUGUAUGCCAUUGCUGAUAAAGCAGUCAAACGUAUGAAUCUGAGCAUCUCUACAACACAAACAGAGGAUUCAGCUGUGUAUUACUGUGCCCUGAGGCCCACAGUGACAUGAAACACAAACACACUGUACAAAAACCUGACAGCAGCAAACAUCGGUAUAAAGAAACAUGUUUGCAGAGAAGAAAUGUAUGUGGGAGACGUUUAGUGUUAGUAAAGCCCAGAAGAUAUGAGAUACUGAAUAAAGACGUCUCAACAAAACAAUGCUGCUCAUCUUUUUUGUUUGAAUAUUUACCUUCAGCUACUGUGAAGCUAAUAAGAAUCUUAUCAAACCAGACGAAACAUCCGUGUCUAUAACUGAAGGAAACAACAUCACACUGUCCUGUACAUAUGAAGGAUCAGCUUACUGUCUCCACUGGUACCGAC